UACGGAGGGUGCGAGCGUUGUCCGGAAUCACUGGGCGUAAAGGGCGCGUAGGUGGCGCGGGAAGUCAACGGUGAAAGUUCGGGGCUCAACCCUGAAUCGGCCGUCGAUACUCCCGGGCUCGAGCACUGUAGAGGCAGAUGGAAUUCCGGGUGUAGCGGUGGGAAUGCGUAGAGAUCCGGAAGAACACCGGUGGCGAAGGCGGUCUGCUGGGUCGAAGACUGACGCUCGAUG
rnacentral:rRNA from 1 species